rnacentral:rRNA from 1 species
UGGGGAAUAUUGCACAAUGGGCGCAAGCCUGAUGCAGCCAUGCCGCGUGUGUGAAGAAGGCCUUCGGGUUGUAAAGCACUUUCAGCGGGGAGGAAGGCGAUAAGGUUAAUAACCUUGUCGAUUGACGUUACCCGCAGAAGAAGCACCGGCUAACUCCGUGCCAGCAGCCGCGGUAAUACGGAGGGUGCAAGCGUUAAUCGGAAUUACUGGGCGUAAAGCGCACGCAGGCGGUCUGUCAAGUCGGAUGUGAAAUCCCCGGGCUCAACCUGGGAACUGCAUUCGAAACUGGCAGGCUAGAGUCUUGUAGAGGGGGGUAGAAUUCCAGAUGUAGCGGUGAAAUGCGUAGAGAUCUGGAGGAAUACCGGUGGCGAAGGCGGCCCCCUGGACAAAGACUGACGCUCAGGUGCGAAAGCGUGGGGAGCAAACAGG